GAUGAACGCUAGCGGCAGGCCUAAUACAUGCAAGUCGAACGAGAUUAAGGAGCUUGCUUCUUAUGAAAGUGGCGCACGGGUGCGUAACGCGUAUGCAACCUACCUUAAUCAGGGGGAUAGCCCGAAGAAAUUCGGAUUAACACCGCAUAAAAUCACAGGGUAGCAUUACCUAAUGAUCAAAUAUUUAUAGGAUUAAGAUGGGCAUGCGUGUCAUUAGCUAGUUGGCGGGGUAACGGCCCACCAAGGCGACGAUGACUAGGGGAUCUGAGAGGAUGGCCCCCCACACUGGUACUGAGACACGGACCAGACUCCUACGGGAGGCAGCAGUAAGGAAUAUUGGUCAAUGGAGGGAACUCUGAACCAGCCAUGCCGCGUGCAGGAAGACAGCCCUCUGGGUCGUAAACUGCUUUUAUUCGGGAAUAGACCUACUUACGUGUAAGUAGCUGAAUGUACCGAAGGAAUAAGGAUCGGCUAACUCCGUGCCAGCCGCCGCGGUAAUAC
rnacentral:rRNA from 1 species